CUAUCGGGCGGGCUAUCCCGGGGCCCAAAAGCUAGCGGACUAUGGUUUCAGUUCUCAGUAUAGCUUGAACUGUGAUAUAAAACCGACGUAGGCUUUGUGUCGCUGCUGCUUCUGCUGCCGGCAGCAGAAACAACAACAAAACCCAAACAAAAAUAUAUAAACAAACGCAAGGCAGAGUUUUUGCAUUAACCGUGAUACCGAGAUGCCCCCGCCCCAAAUCAGUUGUAGCGGCGGCCCAGGAAUCGUCAGGUCUGUGGCCCCACUCUUACAUUUUUCUGCUGCAGCUCCUGGAUUAACACCUGUAAGGUUGCAAACAAUAGAUGCAAGCAGAAGCCUCAACGCCUUCCGAUCACACCGACCUUUGCCGUCUCAUGCAGGGGCCCCGCUGUCAGGAACUUCGAUAUGAGGAAGUAUAACUCUGCAAGAAGAACAAUUCCACAGAAUAAGUGCAACAGUUGGGUGGCCAAAUAGCAUUAUUAUACGAAAAUUGAAACUUUUCGUAUGGAUGUUCUUGCAAUUCGAUUCGCGGCCAUUCAGCCCAGGCAUCGCGAAUGCACAGCCAUCGAGCCCAUCGCAAAAGCACACACCUCUCCCGGGGCUGCGGGAGGCUCUGGGCAGCCAUAUUUUUGCACACACUUAUUGUAUUCGUAUUAAACGUACCUGGCACUAUCACAUCAUUACAACUGGGCUGGCUAUUUGCCAUUAUUCAUUGCGAACUACAGCUCGGAUUAUUACAAAAUUGUAGUUGCUUUCUUCCAAAAAUUCUUUUUUCAGCUUCUUCUUCACUGUCACAUUAUCGAUGAACCUCAGAAAUAUACCGAAGUAGCCGACUCGCUUUCAAAAUAUACCGAUGACAAAACGAGCUUAGCCCACUUAGGCCCCCCUAUUUAAACAGUUCAACAGUUCAGAUCUAUGCCAUCUUGUUCCAUCUUUCCUCUGAACUAAAAAAAAAACAUGAUAUCUUUCACCUGAACUGCGCUAAAUUGAUUAAAUUUUCAUUAUUUUCGGUGGCAUAUAAAAAUACCCCCUUGGUCUACAUUGGGUUAAUCGUUCUCCGUCAAGGAUUGAAACCAUAUUCCGUGGAAUAUUAAUAGCUAGUUUGAUCCUUCAGACCAGCCCACACAAUUUUCUUCAAUUAAUGAACAUCAUUUCUACUUGACUUG